CAUAAUUUCAGUGUUGAUUUUCUUUGUACAGGGCAAGAAGGAAUGCUUUGCAUCAUGCCUCUUUGUCUGUUAUGACUUGAUUCGACCAGACGUUGUUCUUGAGCUAGCCUGGAUUAACAAUAUGAUUGAUUUCGCUUCCCAUAUUUGUUGCAGUUCAUCCGUGAAUAUACUGGGAAAGUUGAUGAACUUAUCAAGGACAAGGUUGAGGCUCAAAAAGAAGUUAAGGCUAAAGAGCAGGAA